rnacentral:rRNA from 1 species
GCUUGUCUCAAAGAUUAAGCCAUGCAUGUUCAAGUAUAGCAAGUGUACAGUGAAACUGCGAAUGGCUCAUUAAAUCAGUUAUAAUUUAUUUGAUAGUGAAAUUGUACAUGGAUAACCGUGGUAAUUCUAGAGCUAAUACAUGCUAAAAAUCCCGACUUCGGAAGGGAUGUAUUUAUUAGAUUAAAAACCAAUGCCCUUCGGGGCUCUCUGGUGAUUCAUAAUAACUUCUCGAAUCGCACGGCCUUGCGCCGGCGAUGGUUCAUUCAAAUUUCUGCCCUAUCAACUUUCGACGGCUGGGUCUUGGCCAGCCGUGGUGACAACGGGUAACGGAGGGUUAGGGCUCGACCCCGGAGAAGGAGCCUGAGAAACGGCUACUACAUCCAAGGAAGGCAGCAGG